rnacentral:rRNA from 1 species
AUUAAACGCUGGCGGCAUGCCUUACACAUGCAAGUCGAACGGUAGCGCGGGGCAACCUGGCGACGAGUGGCGAACGGGUGAGUAAAGCAUCGGAACGUGCCUGGAAUGGGGAUAACGUAGCGAAAGUUACGCUAAUACCGCAUAUUCUGUGAGCAGGAAAGCAGGGAUCGCAAGACCUUGCGUUCUGGGGAGCGGCCGAUGUCGGAUUAGCUAGUUGGUGGGGUAAAAGCCUACCAAGGCGACGAUCCGUAGCGGGUCUGAGAGGAUGAUCCGCCACACUGGGACUGAGACACGGCCCAGACUCCUACGGGAGGCAGCAGUGGGGAAUUUUGGACAAUGGGCGGAAGCCUGAUCCAGCCAUGCCGCGUGAGUGAAGAAGGCCUCGGUUGUAAG